rnacentral:lncRNA from 1 species
GUCAGAUUGCUUAUGUUUUCAGGCUUAGGUAAAUUCUCUAGAUCAGAAAUCAGACAACUUACAUUGGCACCUUUGGGCCACUAGGUGGAGACUGCGAACAGCCUCCAGGGUAGCUGCGGAUGUGCAGAAUCGGCAGCUGCGCAGUGGAGGAAAUGGAGGAUCCGAUGCUGGCAAGGUCGUUCACCCUCAGGAUGAAACCCGCUGAAGAAGAUACACCGUACCUUCUUUGAAGAUUCUAAAAGAGAGGAAAAAUUUUACAAGAUCAACCCAAAGAUACAUGCAGAUUGGUUUCAGAAUCAGAAGAUCAUACUGAGGAAGCGAUGUUACCAAAUAAAUGCUGCAUUAUCAGGCAAAACUUUUUCAAUUUCGGAUUGGAAUGUCCAGUCAUUUUCCAAGGUACCUGGGUCAGGUCCCCUUUCACCACUGCUUUCAGAAAUCAGGGAGCUUUCAUAUAUUCAUAAAAGAGUUACACUGUUUCACAAAUAUUACUUUGUAGGAAAAUCCACAUUGAUGUUUCUAGAGAUUGUGGGCUUAUUAUUUAUGUUAUAAAAUUGUGUAAAUGUCCAAAAUAAUAUUAUACAAAUUAUUUUCAUUGCUCAGGACAUCCUUCUCCGUGGUCUAUACAUUCUUCAUUAGAGCCUUUCUCCUUACCUAGUUCCUUUGGUGAUGAGGAUUGUAGGCUGGUAAUCCUUUGCUCUAUUUCCAAAAUUCAUAAAUGAGGGAGUACAUACCAUAUUUGUCUUUUUGUGCCUGGGUAACAGGAGGAAAUGGCGGAGCUGGAAUUUUGAGUCAGGGGAAGAAUAGAGGAGAGAGAACAGGAUGAGAGUUCCAUUAACAGAGGGGGGCCUUUAUAGGUUCAAGGAGAGAUCUGGCACUAGUGAGAUUUGCAGAGAUCUCCAAGAAUGACACCAACUGACAAUCUAGGCAGUGGUGGAGAGGCUACCCUAAAUGCCCUUCCCCUGUAAUGAGACUGAUGACUGCUUUAUAUGACAUCCUAGAGCCCUCAUCCAGUGGCUGAUGGAAGCAGAGGAAGACACCCACAGCUAAACACUGGACUGAACUCCUGGAAUCCGUUGCAGAGAGGAGAGGUGAAGAGCAAAGAGGUGAGGACCCAGCU